GUUGAAAAAAUGCGGAGCACUUACCAUGAAGCACUUGAAAGGUUUGCAAAACUACUUUCAGAUGAAAAGAAGAAAAGAAGCUUCGUGAAUCAAAUUUACCACACUCUAAGGACUCUGAAGUAAAAUAAAUAUAUGCGUAUUCAGUGACGGGGCAGAAUUUAGACAAUAGAGAUAAUGCAAGCACAAUAUGAGAAAAAUACAAGGAAAUAACAAGUAGUACGUACGUAAAAUAAAAACAAUUGUAUUACAUGUAAUCUUCAAAUGUACCCAAUUGUUUGCAUUGCUUUUUUCUUCUUUAAAAUAAAUUGUCAUUUAAUGAA